rnacentral:tRNA from 1 species
GCCAGUUUAGCUCAGUUGGUAGAGCAUCUGAUUUGUAAUCAGAGGGUCGUUGGUUCAAAUCCGACAACUGGCACCA